rnacentral:rRNA from 1 species
GACGAACGCUGGCGGCGUGCUUAACACAUGCAAGUCGAACGAAGUGGCGAACGGGUGAGUAACGCGUAAUCAACCUGCCCUUCAGAGGGGGACAACAGUUGGAAACGACUGCUAAUACCGCAUACUGAAGGAGGGGAUUGCGUGUGAUUAGCUAGUUGGGGGGGUAACGGCCAACCAAGGCGAUGAGCAGUAGCCGGUCUGAGAGGGUGAGCGGCCACAUUUGGAAUGAGGCACUGCCCAGACUCCUACGGGGAGGAGCAGUGGGGAAUCUUCCGCAAUGGAAGGAAGGCUGACGGAGCAACGCCGGGUGAGUGAUGACGGCCUUCGGGGUGUAAAGCUCUGUUAAUCGGGACGCGGUACCGGAAUAGAAAGCCACGGCUAACUACGUGCCAGCAGCCGCGGUAAUAC